rnacentral:rRNA from 1 species
UACGUAGGGUGCGAGCGUUAAUCGGAAUUACUGGGCGUAAAGCGUGCGCAGGCGGUUUUGAAAGACAGGCGUGAAAUCCCCGGGCUCAACCUGGGAAUGGCGAUGGAUACUGGCGGGCUAGAGUGCGGUAGAGGAGAGUGGAAUUCCCGGUGUAGCAGUGAAAUGCGUAGAGAUCGGGAGGAACAUCAGUUGCGAAGGCGGCUCUCUGGACCAGCACUGACACUGAGGCACGAAAGCGUGGGGAGCAAACAGG